rnacentral:lncRNA from 1 species
GUUCUACUUCUGGAAUGUUCUUAUUUGACAAACAUGGCUGGCAAUGCCAUCCUUCACAGCCCUGACGUCAAGAAGCAGCCAAAGAAAUGCUAAGGCCCUAUGUUUACAGGCCUAAUACUCCUGGAUCCGGAGCUCAAAACUGUGAAGGCCGACUAGAGCAAAGCAAACAGCAGCGGAAGUAGGGCUGAUGCUUUUAUCUCAGUGGUAGAGUUUUCAGGAAGUAAGUAAAGAACAUUAACAAGGAGUUGCUGCACUUAGAACACCUACAAUAGUGGAUCCAACUGAGAAGCAACUGGUGACAUCAUGCCCUACUCCCUUGACAAUAGACACACAGCAGUACCUGGUUCCAAAAUAAGACAAUAAAAGCUCCUGGUGUGUUGUGGGAAA